rnacentral:rRNA from 1 species
GGUUAAGCGACUAAGCGUACACGGUGGAUGCCCUGGCAGUCAGAGGCGAUGAAGGACGUGCUAAUCUGCGAAAAGCGUCGGUAAGGUGAUAUGAACCGUUAUAACCGGCGAUGUCCGAAUGGGGAAACCCAGUGCAAUUCGUUGCACUAUCGUUAACUGAAUACAUAGGUUAACGAGGCGAACCGGGGGAACUGAAACAUCUAAGUACCCCGAGGAAAAGAAAUCAACCGAGAUUCCCCCAGUAGCGGCGAGCGAACGGGGAGCAGCCCAGAGUCUGAAUCAGCUUGUGUGUUAGUGGAACGGUCUGGAAAGUCCGACGGUACAGGGUGAUAGUCCCGUACACCAAAAUGCACAGGCUGUGAACUCGAAGAGUAGGGCGGGACACGUGGUAUCCUGUCUGAAUAUGGGGGGACCAUCCUCCAAGGCUAAAUACUCCUGACUGACCGAUAGUGAACCAGUACCGUGAGGGAAAGGCGAAAAGAACCCCGGCGAGGGGAGUGAAAAAGAACCUGAAACCGUGUACGUACAAGCAGUGGGAGCACCUUCGGGUGUGACUGCGUACCUUUUGUAUAAUGGGUCAGCGACUUAUAUUCUGUAGCAAGGUUAACCGUAUAGGGGAGCCGCAGGGAAACCGAGUCUUAACUGGGCGUUAAGUUGCAGGGUAUAGACCCGAAACCCGGUGAUCUAGCCAUGGGCAGGUUGAAGGUUGGGUAACACUAACUGGAGGACCGAACCGACUAAUGUUGAAAAAUUAGCGGAUGACUUGUGGCUGGGGGUGAAAGGCCAAUCAAACCGGGAGAUAGCUGGUUCUCCCCGAAAGCUAUUUAGGUAGCGCCUCGUGAAUUCAUCUUCGGGGGUAGAGCACUGUUUCGGCUAGGGGGUCAUCCCGACUUACCAACCCGAUGCAAACUACGAAUACCGAAGAAUGUUAUCACGGGAGACACACGGCGGGUGCUAACGUCCGUCGUGAAGAGGGAAACAACCCAGACCGCCAGCUAAGGUCCCAAAGUCAUGGUUAAGUGGGAAACGAUGUGGGAAGGCACAGACAGCCAGGAUGUUGGCUUAGAAGCAGCCAUCAUUUAAAGAAAGCGUAAUAGCUCACUGGUCGAGUCGGCCUGCGCGGAAGAUGUAACGGGGCUAAACCAUGCACCGAAGCUGCGGCAGCGACACUAUGUGUUGUUGGGUAGGGGAGCGUUCUGUAAGCCUGCGAAGGUGACCUGUGAGGGUUGCUGGAGGUAUCAGAAGUGCGAAUGCUGACAUAAGUAACGAUAAAGCGGGUGAAAAGCCCGCUCGCCGGAAGACCAAGGGUUCCUGUCCAACGUUAAUCGGGGCAGGGUGAGUCGACCCCUAAGGCGAGGCCGAAAGGCGUAGUCGAUGGGAAACAGGUUAAUAUUCCUGUACUUGGUGUUACUGCGAAGGGGGGACGGAGAAGGCUAUGUUAGCCGGGCGACGGUUGUCCCGGUUUAAGCAUGUAGGCUGGUUGUCCAGGCAAAUCCGGAUAAUCAAGGCUGAGGUGUGAUGACGAGGCACUACGGUGCUGAAGUAACAAAUGCCCUGCUUCCAGGAAAAGCCUCUAAGCAUCAGGUAACAUCAAAUCGUACCCCAAACCGACACAGGUGGUCAGGUAGAGAAUACCAAGGCGCUUGAGAGAACUCGGGUGAAGGAACUAGGCAAAAUGGUGCCGUAACUUCGGGAGAAGGCACGCUGGUGUGUAGGUGAAGCCCCUGCGGGUGGAGCUGAGACCAGUCGAAGAUACCAGCUGGCUGCAACUGUUUAUUAAAAACACAGCACUGUGCAAACACGAAAGUGGACGUAUACGGUGUGACGCCUGCCCGGUGCCGGAAGGUUAAUUGAUGGGGUUAUCCGUAAGGAGAAGCUCUUGAUCGAAGCCCCGGUAAACGGCGGCCGUAACUAUAACGGUCCUAAGGUAGCGAAAUUCCUUGUCGGGUAAGUUCCGACCUGCACGAAUGGCGUAAUGAUGGCCAGGCUGUCUCCACCCGAGACUCAGUGAAAUUGAACUCGCUGUGAAGAUGCAGUGUACCCGCGGCAAGACGGAAAGACCCCGUGAACCUUUACUAUAGCUUGACACUGAACAUUGAGCCUUGAUGUGUAGGAUAGGUGGGAGGCUUUGAAGCGUGGACGCCAGUCUGCGUGGAGCCAACCUUGAAAUACCACCCUUUAAUGUUUGAUGUUCUAACGUUGGCCCCUUACCGGGGUUGCGGACAGUGUCUGGUGGGUAGUUUGACUGGGGCGGUCUCCUCCCAAAGCGUAACGGAGGAGCACGAAGGUUAGCUAAUCCUGGUCGGACAUCAGGAGGUUAGUGCAAUGGCAUAAGCUAGCUUGACUGCGAGCGUGACGGCGCGAGCAGGUGCGAAAGCAGGUCAUAGUGAUCCGGUGGUUCUGAAUGGAAGGGCCAUCGCUCAACGGAUAAAAGGUACUCCGGGGAUAACAGGCUGAUACCGCCCAAGAGUUCAUAUCGACGGCGGUGUUUGGCACCUCGAUGUCGGCUCAUCACAUCCUGGGGCUGAAGUAGGUCCCAAGGGUAUGGCUGUUCGCCAUUUAAAGUGGUACGCGAGCUGGGUUUAGAACGUCGUGAGACAGUUCGGUCCCUAUCUGCCGUGGGCGCUGGAGAAUUGAGGGGGGCUGCUCCUAGUACGAGAGGACCGGAGUGGACGCAUCACUGGUGUUCGGGUUGUCAUGCCAAUGGCACUGCCCGGUAGCUAAAUGCGGAAGAGAUAAGUGCUGAAAGCAUCUAAGCACGAAACUUGCCCCGAGAUGAGUUCUCCCUGAGACUUUAAGUCUCCUGAAGGAACGUUGAAGACGACGACGUUGAUAGGCCGGGUGUGUAAGCGCAGCGAUGCGUUGAGCUAACCGGUACUAAUGAACCGUGAGGCUUAACCUU